rnacentral:rRNA from 1 species
UUAUGGCUCAGAACGAACGCUGGCGGCGCGUUUAAGCAUGCAAGUCGAGCGGCAAGGGCCUUCGGGCCCCUAGAGCGGCGGACGGGUGAGUAACACGUGGACAAUCUGCCCCCCGGCCCGGGAUAGCCCAGGGAAACCUGGAUUAAUACCGGAUGAGACGGGACCCGCGAUGGCGGGACCCGGGAAAGGCGCUGCGGCGCCGCCGGGGGAUGAGUCUGCGUCCCAUUAGCUAGACGGCGGGGUAACGGCCCACCGUGGCGACGAUGGGUAGCCGGCCUGAGAGGGUGGACGGCCACAUUGGAACUGAGACACGGUCCAGACUCCUACGGGAGGCAGCAGCUAAGAAUCUUCCGCAAUGGGCGAAAGCCUGACGGAAGCGACGCCGCGUGAACGAAGAAGGCCGUGAGGUUGUAAAGUUCUUUUCGGGAGGGGGAACAACCGUGGCAGGGAAUGGCCGCGGGAUGACGUGAAUCCCGGAAUAAGCCCCGGCUAACUACGUGCCAGCCGCCGC